UGAGGAAUAUUGGACAAUGGGCGCAAGCCUGAUCCAGCCAUGCCGCGUGCAGGAAGACGGUCCUAUGGAUUGUAAACUGCUUUUAUACAGGAAGAAACACUCCGACGUGUCGGAGCUUGACGGUACUGUAGGAAUAAGGAUCGGCUAACUCCGUGCCAGCAGCCGCGGUAAUACGGAGGAUCCAAGCGUUAUCCGGAAUCAUUGGGUUUAAAGGGUCCGUAGGCGGUUUAAUAAGUCAGUGGUGAAAUCUGGUCGCUCAACGAUCAAACGGCCAUUGAUACUGUUAGACUUGAAUUAUAAGGAAGUAACUAGAAUAUGUAGUGUAGCGGUGAAAUGCUUAGAUAUUACAUGGAAUACAAUUGCGAAGGCAGGUUACUACUUAUGGAUUGACGCUGAUGGACGAAAGCGUGGGGAGCGAACAGGAUUAGAUACCCUGGUAGUCCACGCCGUAAACGAUGGAUACUAGCUGUUGGAAGCAAUUUCAGUGG
rnacentral:rRNA from 1 species